CGUAACAAGGUCUCCGUAGGUGAACCUGCGGNNNNAUCAUUACACAAAUAUGAAGGCGGGCUGGAACCUCUCGGGGUUACAGCCUUGCUGAAUUAUUCACCCUUGUCUUUUGCGUACUUCUUGCUUCCUUGGUGGGUUCGCCCACCACUAGGACAAACAUAAACCUUUUGUAAUUGCAAUCAGCGUCAGUAACAAAUUAAUAAUUACAACUUUCAACAACGGAUCUCUUGGUUCUGGCAUCGAUGAAGAACGCAGCGAAAUGCGAUAAGUAGUGUGAAUUGCAGAAUUCAGUGAAUCAUCGAAUCUUUGAACGCACAUUGCGCCCUUUGGUAUUCCAAAGGGCAUGCCUGUUCGAGCGUCAUUUGUACCCUCAAGCUUUGCUUGGUGUUGGGCGUCUUGUCUCUAGCUUUGCUGGAGACUCGCCUUAAAGUAAUUGGCAGCCGGCCUACUGGUUUCGGAGCGCAGCACAAGUCGCACUCUCUAUCAGCAAAGGUCUAGCAUCCAUUAAGCCUUUUUUUCAACUUUUGACCUCGGAUCAGGUAGGGAUACCCGCUGAACUUAAGCAUAUCA
rnacentral:rRNA from 1 species